UUUUCUUUUUUUAAAAAGGUUUUUUAGGGAUUAAUAAGUUAUCGCAAGAAAUUUACAUCAUUCCUAGUUUAUGACAAAACGAAUAUAGCAAAUUGGAGAGAACCGUCACCCUUAAAGUAUUUCAUUACCAUAUAUAGAGAUUUUAACCGCAUACCAAUAAAAAAAAGUUACAAGUUGUUAACUAAAUAUAAUACAUCGUUUGGAUAUUCAGUUGCUAGCAUCUUAUUUGGCAUGUAAUAAGUGCCUUUAAAUGCAGAAAAAUAUACAUCCAGUUUGCAAUUAUUAAAAGGUGUCGGCGUAUUUAGCUUCUCUAACUUGUCUGAAAUAAAAAAUAUACACUCAUGUUAUUAUAGAGAGUGCUCCCAGGUUAAGUGGCCCAACUUGAAAUAUGAAUUUAGAACCUCAAAACAAAACAAAAAAUUCCUCUGGAAGUAUGCUCGCAAAUGCUUCGUUCACGAGAUAUUAACUUCUAAAGUUAUUAGGAUAUAAGAUUUAUUAGUAAAUAAUUUUGACAUAAUCUAAGUUUCUCUUCUUUCUUGCUUUACAGUAAUCAAAACCGUGUUGAACAUAUUCUGGAUUGCUGGAAGACUUUUCAUGUGACUAAACAUGAUUCAUUAAUAAAACAUCUUUUCUUUGAUGGAGAAUAUCUUGUCUGAUAAAUAUGGCCUUCUUUGUUCACAAAAUGUUUUGUAAAAAUUGUGGAUCAUAUUUAUUAUUCUUUCUUUGAUUUAAUAACCAAGUGGAAGAUGUUUUCUGCGUGGCAUAUCAGCUGAUAAUAAAUGCUGGAUACGUUGAAGAUAGACAACUUCCAUCGACUGAGAGUAUUUUUCAUAUAAUUGUGAAUGAAAUUCCUAACUCAGAAACAGAUUUCCGGAUAUUUGUUGAUGGGUUUUGGUUGAAAUGCUGCAAUAUGAUAGCAAUUAUUCUUUUAUUUUGCAGUGGUUCAAAAACUUCAUCAGCUCGUGGCACCAUAUUAAAUGACCCAGUUUCCCUCAAUCGGUGAAAUGUUAAAAAUAACAGUAUCCUAUUUGGCAAUCUUCUGUUUGAAAAUCGCGUGGCGUAUUCACAGUGAGCAGCAUUAAUAUUUCCGUUACAAAAUCUAUAUAAAUAUACAAUGUCUGUCAAUGACCUAUAAACCAAAAAAAGUGAUAUUUCGAUUAUAUUCAAUCCUAUACUUCUGUAGCUUAAAAAGCCAAUAUCUCUUGAACAAAGCGCUUGCGAGCGUACUUCCAGAGGAAGAUGUUUUGUUUUGAAGUUCUCAUUAUAAUUUAAGUUUACGAAAAUCAUAUUUUAAGUUCGACCAUUUAUCCCGGGAGGAUCCUAUUAUAGUAAUAUAGUAAUUAUAUAUGUGUAUAGUAAAUAUAAUUCAGAAUAACACAAUGUAUUUAAAACACUUUGUUUAUACCUUCUUGAAUAUAACAUGCCUCCUCGAAUAUUCGUAUAUUCCGGCUAUUGCGUAUUGCUAUUGGGUAUAUUGCGGGAAUGACUAGGUACCAUGCACUUUGUUCCUUGGCUAAGUAAUGGGCUAAAUGGUUCCAUCUCCUUAUCAAAUCAUCAACCACUGACCAUCCUAUUAUCACGUGUGGCAUUUUAUGGCAUUUUAAUUCUGAAUGAGUUCUGUCGUUACAAUUACAUUUCACGAUCAUUCCAACUGCGAAUUUCAUUUCAGCCUUCCUCUUCUUUGGUUUGGGUGUGUAUUUUAUACAUUCUUUUCUUAAUUCAUACUAGAUUGUACAAAAUAAUUAACGAUAAUAAAUACUUAUCUUAUAAUUUUAAUUAUAAGAAUAUUAUAAUUAAUUACUUAUAAAGACUUAAUUACUUUCACAUACAACACAUCCGCAAAAAAGAUAAUCUCUUCAAAGGAGGCAAAUUGGAAUACAAGUACUCUUGUACUGUCUUCAUGAAUAAAUAACAACCAUUUUUAAUGAGAUAAGGUACUAAGGAAAUUCUAUUAGACAUAAGUCUAUCAUCCCAAACGUCCGCCAGCUGGGUAAAUAUGAUGCAGAAUCACGAUUAGGAUCUAUCUUUGUACAUUACUUUUAAACAGUUUUCUUUUGCCUCUCUCAUUAUCUUGCACAAAAAGAUCUUUCUCGGAAUGUCGUCGUGAUGUAAAGUAACAUAUAAUUAUACGCAGAAUAUUAUACUUAUAUUUUCUUGUUUUAUGCAUAUGUGUAAUCUUUAUGUAUCAUACACACAAUAGGUAUGUGCGGGCAUACCUCAUAUAGAGAAUCUAUAACCCUUAUCGCCUCUCGUGUUACAUCGAUGUGUCUUCUUGCAUAGCACGUAACACUAGAUUCACCCUGCACAUAUGUGGAAACACGAAAUUUACUUAUUGUGGAAACAUUUCUAUCUGCAGAUAUAUUAUUUGACAAAUAUGUGACAAUUACGCUUUAUCUCAAGACAUAUCGAUACUCCUAAUAAAAGGUUUUAUGUAAAACUAAAUAAAAUAUUCAUAUACACAAUGAAUCCUAGUAUUCUUUGUUAUAUAUAGAUAUAUUCUUAUCAUGAAAAAAAUAUAUUAGUGAAUCUUAUGUUUAAAAGAAAGAAAAGAAAACUGCAGGAACUUUCAGGAAAUGAAAUUUCUUUACGUAUAACGUAAUUACUUUACGUAUUACGUAUUAUUGAGGUACCUUUUCCAAUUCAUCUACGAACUUAAAUACAUCUUUUUUUCCUGUCAUAUAAAGAGUCUGUGAGAUAGGCAAGCAUUCGUCUACCAGGUGUAGAAACCUUCGCAUCCACCUAUUUUCUUCAACCAUUUCUUGGUUGGAAUCGUUACAAUUUCUACUAUGAUAAUUACGAUAAUUAUCCCGUUUGAAAUACAUUCCUUUCUUAUAAUGGGAACUCAAACUUAUCAUCAGCUAAAACGAACAUUGCAUUCAUAAAUUAAACUAAAAUUAUAAAACUUUGGAAAAUAAAGAAUUGUUUUGAAAUUAGAAGCGAAUUACUCUUUAAUGUGUCAGUAAUUUAAUAUAUCUAUGCUAACUUGCUUGUGACCAAUUAUCUUAUCGUUAAUUUUAUGAAUUGUUAUUUAGUAGAAUUAAUAUACAUGACAUAUACAUGAAAAAUUACCUUUAACAAAUUUAUUCUGGGAUAUCUGUCAAAACUUAUGAGACAUUUUAAAGCAGAAUUAUAAUACAUUGUGGACUAGUUAUUUUUAUUCAGAAUGGCUCCACCGUCAUCGAGACAGAUAUAAAGACACUGUUCGUCAUUCGAGUUUGUUACAUUACUGCAAUAAAAUAAUAAAAAAGUAUAUACACGACAAAAAUGGAAAUGUAGAAAAGGUAUGAGUAAUCGAAAUUAUAAUUAGGUUAACCAUUUUGGGUUCCAUCUUAAUAAUCAUUUAGCGGUCAGGCCCGGAAUAACACGAUCAGAUAUAAGAUCACAAUAUAUACCAAGUCUUCUUGCAACGCUCUGAAAUAUGACUAUCAGCGGUAUUGUCGAAAGAGAUCUGAUUUCAAAGAAUGUACAACUGCGUCAAAGAUAUUAUUGUAUUUCCACCUCGAGAACUGUUCGCGAGAUGCCGAGAAUAUUGGAUGCUUGGGCUUCUCAACUUUUUAAGGCGCUUUAUCACCUGUUGUGCGAUAUUAUCCAGGUCCAUAUUUAUAUGCGAGCAAGAGACAUUUUUCUCCGGAUAAAACCAUUGUAUGAUAAAAGUUAUCACCUCUUCCAAUAGCUGGUGUUUGAGAGGGCGAUUUAUAAAUUCCUGCCAUACGUUUCCUAGAUGAUGAUGCCUUAAAUAUGUCAGAAGGAUUCUUCCGUAAUAAAUAUUUGUCAGGUUGUCCUUAUAUCCACUAAAAAUUAAUACUUUGUAUAUUAACUGAUAAAUGUUAUAUCUCUUUACCAUAUACAUUACAGUAUAACUUCCUUAUUCGUAAAACUUAAAUAAAUAUUCAUUAUUUAUUAAAUCUCACCUUUUCCACCGAUCAUUUAAACUUGUUAAUUCAUCCAUAACUAAAUAAUAAUUCAAGUGAUGUGUUGUCUUGGGUGGAUAAACCAAAAAAUUAAACUCUUCCAUAUCGAGAAUUUCAUUAGUCAAAAAGCUUUCGUGAAAAACAUUGCGCAACGGAAGAAAACAGUGGAAAUGUCUGUUUCCAAUCUUAAAAUUUUUCUUGAACAACUCAUCAGAACCAUUGUGGUAAACUUUUCACUCAUUUGGGCCAACAAAUGCGACAAUUCUUUCUUACAGUUUACUCGUACGUCUAUCAAUUCUUCAACACUUCAGUAGCCUUUAUGCAUUUCUAUUUGUCGAAUAUUUUUCAAACCAGGCCAUCUGGAAGAAAAAUGUAAGGAAAAUGUAUUUAAUUUUGUGAAUCAUUGGAUAUAUAAUUGCAUAAAUAAAACCAUUGUCAG
rnacentral:lncRNA from 1 species